AGGUAAGCUACUAAGAGCGAAUGGUGGAUGCCUUGACUGGUAAAGGCGAUGAAGGACGUACUAGACUGCGAUAAGCUACGGGGAGCUGUCAAGAAGCUUUGAUCCGUAGAUUUCCGAAUGGGGCAACCCAAUGUAUAGAGAUAUACAUUACCUAUAUAGGAGCGAACGAGGGGAAUUGAAACAUCUUAGUACCCUCAGGAAAAGAAAUCAAUAGAGAUUGCGU
rnacentral:rRNA from 1 species